CCUCGGUCAAGCUGCCCAGCUCCCAGCGCCCGGACCCCAGCAGACGAUUCACCCCGACCUGAUCCAAUUGCUGCCCGCCAAACCAAGCUAUACAUCUUAUCGUCGUAUGGACGUGGGCCGCGGGCCAGGACGGGAAAUCAUCACGGGAAAUAAUCAGUGUUUGGUCAGCACCUCAAAUAAAAAACACCAUCCGAUGCGUGUUUCUCCACCGGCGGGUUCCUGUCCUCCCUCCUCAUUCUCCGUCCGGGUGCAGGAAAGAAACGCUCAGCAGAACGGCUCGUCUGUCAGCCAGGUGGAGCGAUGGCUGCGGUGGAGAGAUGGACGCCCGUUUCAGUCCCCACCGCCCAGUGAGGUAGAACAGCCCAGGAGAGCCCCCCUUGGGGGAGAGACCCCUUCCUGUCCACCACGGUAAUUACAAUUAUGCUAAAUAACCACCAUCAGGCCGAAGGGAUGAGAGCACGCCGACGUCAACGCUUUACCCCAGAGUGUGGCAGAACAGGUGCAGUGACAUUAUCCCGCUAGGAUGGCCAAAUCUUAGCGUGAUUAUAAUGCUAUUCAGACAGAGGGAGGGAGGAACAUAAAGCCCUCGCGCUCGCUAACACGGGGGUGUGGGAGAGAGGGAAGGACCUCCAAUCUCCGCUCCUUUGUUCCAGGUUUAGAUUACUUGAUUGUUUCAGAUGGA